rnacentral:lncRNA from 1 species
CAGUAUCAGAGGUACUUAGCCCCCUACCUCUUGGGCCAUAUGUUGAGAGGCAUGUUAUCUCAGGCCUCCUGCCUGGAUUUGUUUGCAAGCUUCCAAUUCUGCCUCCAAUAGGGGAUUCCUCUUAAGAACUCCCACUCAGAAGCUACCUCAUAGAUAUCAUAAUGUCAAAACGCAGAGAAGAAGAUGUCUUCCCUGCCCUCUGCAAUUCUAGGCUCUCCCUCGAAUGCUAAUUUACUGAGUGAGAUACAGGAACUGUCAUACUGUUUUCCGCAGAGGCUGCAGCAUUUUCUGUUCCUACCAGCGAUGUACGCACGUUCCAAUUAUUUUCUGUGUUUUUGUUUAAAAAUACAUAAUAAUCACUCCCAUUGGGUGUGAAGUUGUA